UGCCUUCCGGGUUUGAGAGCUUAGGACCCUGGGUUGGUGGGGUCAGAGGGAGAGGGGGUGCCUUCCUCCCGGACUGCUGGGGGUGCAGGGCGCCUUGGGUGUAGCACCCAGAACAGGUUUCUGAUCUCUAACUUGGCUGUGAUCAUUGUGAUGGAGCAAGAAAAAAAAACUGUUGGUCUCCAAUUCUAACGACUUUAUGGAGAGAGAGAGUUUGAAAAGCCCCUUCACAGGAGGUGCAAGUAUGAAUAAUUUGGAAACUGUUCACCACAAUAAUUCUAAGGCAGAUAAAGAGAAACCUUCAGAAUGGUCUAAAAGACAUAGACCACAACAUUAUAAGCAUGAGGAUGCAAAAGAAAUGCCACUGACAUGGGUUCAAGAUGAGAUUUGGUGUCAUGAUUCCUAUGAGAGUGAUGGCAAGUCAGAGAAUUGGGGAAAUUUUAUAGCUAAAGAGGAGGAAAAACCCAAUCACCAGGAAUGGGACCCAGGAGAACAUACCAAUGCCUGUGUCCAGCAGAAUUCAUCCUUUGUAGACAGACCCUACAAAUGUUGCAAAUGUUGGAAAAGCUUCAGUAAUAGUUCUCAUUUGCGUACUCACCAGAGGACCCACUCAGGAGAAAAGCCUUAUAAAUGCUCUGAGUGUGCAAAAUGCUUUUGUAACAGUUCUCACCUGAUUCAGCAUCUAAGAAUGCACACAGGAGAGAAGCCCUACCAGUGUGGUGAAUGUGGGAAAAGCUUCAGCAAUACCUCCCAUCUUAUUAUCCAUGAGAGAACUCACACGGGAGAGAAACCCUAUAAAUGUCCCGAGUGUGGGAAGAGAUUCAGCAGCAGCUCUCACCUUAUUCAGCAUCACAGAUCACAUACGGGUGAAAAACCAUAUGAAUGUUCUGUCUGCGGAAAAGGCUUCAGUCACAGCUAUGUCCUAAUAGAACAUCAGAGGACUCACACUGGAGAAAAACCUUACAAGUGCCCUGAUUGUGGGAAGAGUUUUAGUCAGAGUUCCAGCCUCAUUCGCCACCAGCGGACACACACAGGUGAGAAACCCUACAAAUGUCUUGAGUGUGGAAAAAGCUUCGGUUGUAAUUCUACUCUAAUAAAACAUCAGAGAAUACAUACAGGAGAAAAGCCUUAUCAAUGUCCAGAAUGUGGGAAGAAUUUUAGUCGUAGUUCAAACCUUAUUACACACCAGAAAAUGCACACAGGAGAGAAAUCCUAUGAAAGUUCGGAAUAUGAAGAAAGUUUGAGUCAGAACUGCAAUGUGAUAGAAGAAUGCAGAAUCCAGUUAGGAGAGAAACCAUAUAGAUGUUGUGAAUGUGGAAAGAGUUUUGGCCUUAGCUCCCAUCUCAUUAGACAUCAGAGAACACAUACAGGAGAAAAACCUUACAGAUGUUCUGUGUGCUGGAAAACUUUCAGUCAGAGUUCCACCCUGGUGAUUCACCAAAGGACACAUACAGGAGAGAAACCUUAUAAAUGUCCUGAUUGUGGUGAAUGCUUCAGUCAGAGCUUUAACCUUAUCAGGCACCAGAGGACCCACAUAGGGGAAAAACCUUACAAAUGUACCAGCUGUGGGAAAUGCUUCAGCAGAAGUGCCUACCUCAGUCAGCAUCGAAAAAUUCACAUAGAAAAGCCUUUUAAGUCUCCCGACGGGGAUUUUCCUCAUGAAUGGACUUGGAAAAACUGUUCAGGGGAAAUGCCCCUCAUCCCUUCAUUUUCUGUCUCAAAUUCAUCUUCUUGAGUCCCAAAGCCUGGUUGGUGAUGGUUUUUUCUUCCUUGUUGGACCAUGACAAUUUAGGUAUUCUGUGAUUGUUGUGCUAUAAAGUUUCUUUGAUGUGUUUGUCAAAACAUUUGGAAAAAGUCAACCUCCCAGUUUAAAGGAUGGGAAGACCCCAAUCACCAGGUUAUUGGAUCUGUCCAGUGAGAGAUUCAUCCACCAAGGAUGAAGAAAGGAGGACUUUUAAAAAUUUAAGGGAAGCAGGAACCUUGGAGAGCCAGAGUGGCACCACUUUAAAAAUCAAAUCCAGGAGCCAAGAUGACCGAAUAGGAACAGCUCCGGUCUACAGCUCCCAGCGUGAGUGACACAGAAGAUGGGUGAUUUCUGCAUUUCCAACUGAGGUACCGGGUUCAUCUCACUGGGGUGUGCCAGACAGUGGGUGUAGGACAGUGGGUGCAGCGCACCAUGCGCAAGCCGAAGCAGGGUGAGGUAUCGCGUCACCUGGGAAGUGCAAGGGGUCAGGGAAUUCCCUUUCCUAGUCAAAGAAAGGGGUGACAGAUGGCACCUGGAAAAUCGGGUCACUCCCACCCUAAUACUGUGCUUUCCCAACGGGCUUAAAAAACGGCACACCAGGAGAUUAUAUCCUGCACCUGGCUCAGAGGGUCCUACGCCCACGGAGUCUCGCUCAUUGCUAGCACAGCAGUCUGAGAUCAAACUGCAAGGCGGCAGCGAGGCUGGGGGAGGGGCGCUCACUGUUGCCGAGACUUGAUUAGGUAAAUGAAGUGGCUGAGAAGCUUGAACUGGGUGGAGCCCACCACAGCUCAAGGAGGCCUGCCUGCUUCUGUAGGCUCCACCUCUGGGGGCAGGGCACAGACAAACAAAAAGACAGCAGUAACCUCUGCAGACUUAAAUGUCCCUCUCUGACAGCUUUGAAGAGAGUAGUGGUUCUCUCAGCACGCAGCUUGAGAUCUGAGAAUGGGCAGAAUGCCUUCUCAAGUGGGUCCCUGACCCCCGAGUAGCCUAACUGGGAGGCACCCCCCAGUAGGGGCGGACUGACACCUCACACGGCUGAGUACUUCUCUGAGACAAAACUUCCAGAGGAAUGAUCAGGCAACAGCAUUUGCAGUUCACCAAUAUCCGCUGUUCUGCAGCCACCGCUGCUGAUAUCCAGGCAAACAGGGUCUGGAGUGGACCUCUAGCAAACUCCAACAGACCUGCAGCUGAGGGUCCUGUUGUUAGAAGGAAAACUAACAAACAGGAAGGACAUCCACACCAAAAACCCAUCUGUACAUCACCAUCAUCAAAGACCAAAGGUAGAUAAAACCACAAAGAUGGGGAAAAAACAGAGCAGAAAAACUGGAAACUCUAAAAAUCAGAGCGCCUCUCCUCCUCUAAAGGAAAGCAGCUCCUCACCAGCAAUGGAACAAAGCUGGAUGGAGAAUGACUUGGACAAGUUGAGAGAAGAAGGCUUCAGACGAUCAAACUACUCCUAGCUACAGGAGGAAGUUCAAACCAAUGGCAAAGAAGUUAAAAGCUUUGAAAAAAAAUUAGACCAACGGAUAACUAGAAUAACCAAUGCAGAGAAGUCCUUAAAGGACCUGAUGGAGCUGAAAACCAAGGCAUGAGAACUACGUGACGAAUGCAGAAGCCUCAGCAGCCGAUGCGAUCAACUGGAAGAAAGGGUAUCAGUGAUGCAAGAAGAAAUGAAUGAAAUGAAGCGAGAAGAGAAGUUUAGAGAAAAAAGAACAAAAAGAAACGAACAAAGCCUCCAAGAAAUAUGUGACUAUGUGAAAAGACCAAAGCUACGUCUGAUUGGUGUACCUGAAAGUGACGGGGAGAAUGGAACCAAGUUGGAAAACACUCUGCAGGAUAUUAUCCAGGAGAACUUCCCCAAUCUAGCAAGGCAGGCCAACAUUCAAAUUCAGGAAAUACAGAGAACGCCACAAAGAUACACCUUGAGAAGAGCAACUCCAAGACACAUAAUUGUCAGAUUCACCAAAGUUGAAAUGAAGGAAAAAAUGUUAAGGGCAGCCAGAGAGAAAGGUCGGGUUACCAUCAAAGGGAAGCCCAUCAGACUAACAGCUGAUCUCUCGGCAGAAACUCUACAAGCCAGAAGAGAGUGGGGGCCAAUAUUCAACAUUCUUAAAGAAAAGAAUUUUCAACCCAGAAUUUCAUAUCCAGCCAAACUAAGCUUCAUAAGUGAAGGAGAAAUAAAAUACUUUACAGACAAGCAAAUGCUGAGAGAUUUUGUCACCAGCAGGCCUGCCCUAAAAGAGCUCCUGAAGGAAGCACUAAACAUGGAAAGGAACAACCAGUACCAGCCACUGCAAAAACAUGCGAAAUUGAAAAGACCAUCAAGGCUAGGAAGAAACUGCAUCAGCUAACGAGCAAAAUAGCCAGCUGACAUCAUAAUGACAGGAUCAAAUUCACACAUAACAAGAUUAACUUUGAAUGUAAAUGGGCUAAAUGCUCCAAUUAAAAGACACAGACUGGCAAAUUGGAUAAAGAGUCAAGACCCAUCAGUGUGCUAUAUUCAGGAAACCCAUCUCACAUUCAGAGACACACAUAGGCUCAAAAUAAAGGGAUGGAGGAAGAUCUACCAAGCAAAUGGAAAACAGAAAAAGGCAGGGGUUGCAAUCCUAGUCUCUGAUAAAACAGACUUUAAACCAACAAAGAUCAAAUGAGACAAGGCCAUUACAUAAUGGUAAAGGGAUCAAUUCAACAAGAAGAGCUAACUAUCCUAAAUAUAUAUGCACCCAAUACAGGAGCACCCAGAUUCAUAAAGCAAGUCUUAGUGACCUACAAAGAGACUUAGACUCCCACACAAUAAUAAUGGGAGACUUUAACACCCCACUGUCAACAUUAGACAGAUCAACGAGACAGAAAGUUAACAAGGAUACCCAGGAAUUGAACUCAGCUCUGCACCAAGCAGACCUAAUAGACAUCUACAGAACUCUCCACCCCAAAUCAACAGAAUAUACAUUCUUUUCAGCACCACACCACACCUAUUCCAAAAUUGACCACAUAGUUGGAAGUAAAGCACUCCUCAGCAAAUGUAAAAGAACAGAAAUUAUAACAAACUGUCUCUCAGACCACAGUGCAAUCAAACUAGAACUCAGGAUUAAGAAACUCACUCAAAACCACUCAACUACAUGGAAACUGAACAACCUGCUCCUGAAUGACUACUGGGUACAUAAUGAAAUGAAGGCAGAAAUAAAGAUGUUCUUUAAAACCAAUGAGAACAAAGACACAACAUACCAGAGUCUCUGGGACACAUUCAAAGCAGUGUGUAGAGGGAAAUUUAUAGCACUAAAUGCCCACAAGAGAAAGCAGGAAAGAUCUAAAAUUGACACCCUAACAUCACAAUUAAAAGAACUAGAAAAGCAAGAGCAAACACAGUCAAAAGCUAGCAGAAGGCAAGAAACAACUAAGAUCAGAGCAGAACUGAAGGAAAUAGAGACACAAAAAACCCUUCAAAAAAUUAAUGAAUCCAAGAGCUGGUUUUUUGAAAAGAUCAACAAAAUUGAUAGACUGCUAGCAAGACUAAUAAAGAAGAAAAGAGAGAAGAAUCAAAUAGACGCAAUAAAAAAUGAUAAAGGGGAUAUCACCACCGAUCCCACAGAAAUACAAACUACCAUCAGAGAAUACUAUAAACACCUCUACGCAAAUAAACUAGAAAAUCUAGAAGAAGUGGAUAAAUUCCUCGACACAUACAUCCUCCCAAGACUAAACCAGGAAGAAGUUGAAUCUCUGAAUAGACCAGUAACAGGCUCUGAAAUUGAGGCAACAAUCAAUAGCUUACCAACCAGAAAAAGUCCAGGACCAGAUGGAUUCACAGCUGCAUUCUACCAGAGGUACAAGGAGGAGCUGGUACCAUUCCUUCUGAAACUAUUCCAAUCAAUAGAAAAAGAGAGAGUCCUCCCUAACUCAUUUUAUGAGGCCAGCAUCAUCCUGAUACCAAAAGAGACACAAUGAAAAAAGAGAAUUUUAGACCAAUAUCCUUGAUGAACAUUGAUGCAAAAAUCCUCAAUAAAAUACUGGCAAACUGAAUCCAGCAGCACAUCAAAAAGCUUAUCCACCAUGAUCAAGUGGGCUUCAUCCCUGGGAUGCAAGGCUGGUUCAACAUAUGCAAAUCAAUAAAUGUAAUCCAGCAUAUAAAUAGAACCAAAGACAAAAACCACAUGACUAUCUCGAUAGAUGCAGAAAAAGCCUUUGACAAAAUUCAACAACACUUCAUGCUAAAAACUCUCAAUAAAUUAGGAAUUGAUGGGACGUAUCUCAAAAUAAUAAGAGCUAUCUAUGACAAACCCACAGCCAAUAUCAUACUGAAUGGGCAAAAACUGGAAGCAUUCCCUUUGAAAACUGGCACAAGACAGGGAUGCCCUCUCUCACCACUCCUAUUCAACAUAGUGUUGGAAGUUCUGGCCAGGGCAAUCAGGCAGGAGAAGGAAAUAAAGGGUAUUCAAUUAGGAAAAGAGGAAGUCAAAUUGUCCUUGUUUGCAGAUGACAUGAUUGUAUAUCUAGAAAACCCCAUUGUCUCAGCCCAAAAUCUCCUUAAGCUGAUAAGCAACUUCAGCAAAGUCUCAGGAUACAAAAUCAAUGUGCAAAAAUCACAAGCAUUCUUAUACACCAAUAACAGACAAACAGAGAGCCAAAUCAUGAGUGAACUCCCAUUCACAAUUGCUUCAAAGAGAAUAAAAUACCUAGGAAUCCAAGUUACAAGGGAUGUGAAGGACCUCUUCAAGGAGAACUACAAACCACUGCUCAAUGAAAUAAAAGAGGAUACAAACAAAUGGAAGAACCUUCCAUGCUCAUGGGUAGGAAGAAUCAAUAUUGUGAAAAUGGCCAUACUGCCCAAGGUAAUUUAUAGAUUCAGUGCCAUCCCCAUUAAGCCACCAAUGACUUUCUUCACAGAAUUGGAAAAAACUGCUUUAAAGUUCAUAUGGAACCAAAAAAGAGCCUGCAUCGCCAAGUCAAUCCUAAGCCAAAAGAACAAAGCUGGAGGCAUCACACUACCUGACUUCAAACUAUACUACAAGGCUACAGGAACCAAAACAGCAUGGUACUGGUACCAAAACAGAGAUAUAGACCAAUGGAACAGAACAGAGCCCUCAGAAAUAAUGCCACAUAUCUACAACUAUCUGAUCUUUGAGAAACCUGACAAAAGUAAUGGGGAAAGGAUUCCCUAUUUAAUAAAUGGUGCUGGGAAAACUGGCUAGCCAUAUGUAGAAAGCUGAAACUGGAUCCCUUCCUUACACCUCAUACAAAAAUCAAUUCAAGAUGGAUUAAAGACUUAAAUGUUAGACCUAAAACCAUAAAAUCCCUAGAAGAAAACCUAAGCAAUACUAUUCAGGACAUAGGCACGGGCAAGGACUUCAUGUCUAAAACACCAAAAGCAAUGGCAACACAAGCCAAAAUUGACAAAUGGGAUCUAAUUAAACUAAAGAGCUUCUGCACAGCAAAAGAAACUACCAUCAGAGUGAACAGGCAACCUACAAAAUGGGAGAAAAUUUUCGGAACAUACUCAUCUGACAAAGGGCUAAUAUCCAGAAUCUACAAUGAACUCAAACAAAUUUACAAGAAAAAAACAACCCCAUCAAAAAGUGGGCGAAGGACAUGAACAGACACUUCUCAAAAAAGAAGACAUUUAUGCAGCCAAAAAACACAUGAAAAAAUGCUCAUCAUCACUGGCCAUCAGAGAAAUGCAAAUCAAAACCACAAUGAGAUACCACCUCACACAAGUUAGAAUGGUGAUCAUUAAAAAGUCAGGAAACAACAGGUGCUGGAGAGGAUGUGGAGAAAUAGGAACACUUUUACACUGUUGUUGGGACUGUAAACUAGUUCAACCAUUGUGGAAGUCAGUGUGGCGAUUCCUCAGGGAUCAGAACUAGAAAUACCAUUUGACCCAGCCAUCCCAUUACUGGAUAUAUACCCAAAGGAUUAUAAAUCAUGCUGCUAUAAAGACACAUGCACACAUAUGUUUAUUGCGGCACUAUUCACAAUAGCAAAGACUUGGAACCAACCCAAAUAUCCAACAACGAUAGACUGGAUUAAGAAAAUGUGGCACAUACACACCAUGGAAUACUAUGCAGCCAUAAAAAAUGAUGAGUUCAUGUCCUUUGUAGGGACAUGGAUGAAACUGGAAACCAUCAUUCUCAGCAAACUAUUGCAAGGACAAAAAACGAAACACCGCAUGCUCUCACUCAUAGAUGGGAAUUGAACAAUGAGAACACAUGGACACAGGAAGGGGAACAUCACA